rnacentral:rRNA from 1 species
GUCGAGAAUCUUUCACAAUGGGGGCAACCCUGAUGGAGCGACGCCGCGUGGAGGAUAAGGUCUUCGGAUUGUAAACUCCUGUCAUGCGUGAACAAGGUUGCUUGGUUAAUACCUGGGCAAAUUGAUGGUAACGCAAGAGGAAGAGACGGCUAACUCUGUGCCAGCAGCCGCGGUAAUACAGAGGUCUCAAGCGUUGUUCGGAAUCACUGGGCGUAAAGGGUGCGUAGGUGGCGUGGUAAGUCAGAUGUGAAAGCCCGGGGCUCAACCUCGGAACUGCAGCCGAUACUGCCAUGCUAGAGUACUGGAGAGGUGACUAGAAUUCUCGGUGUAGCAGUGAAAUGCGUAGAUAUCGAGAGGAAUACCAAAGGCGUAGGCAGGUCACUGGACAGUUACUGACACUGAGGCACGAAGGCCAGGGGAGCGAACGGGAUUAGAUACCCCUGUAGUCC